GCGUGGAGAUACUUCUCAACAUCCCCCCUUUUGACACAUGGUCCUUUCCAUGUGUCAGCUUAGCGUAAUAAGGGAACAGUGCCCUUGGUAAGCACGGCUUGUCAUUGGGUCCAUGCCGCACCCCUUCCUUUAACUUGCCUCCCGCUCUUGACCACCUUUUCUUUUCGUCUGGUGUAGCCUGCAUCUGGAGGUCCUGCAAAUCAGCCGUUGGAACAGGGGUUAUCAGCAUUUGCAGACUUACGCGUCGGCUGCAGGUCUCAGCUCUGCCGCGUCUGCUUUUGCAUUACGUUGUGCGACCGGAUCAGUUUUCCCUGAGUGUGCAUCACAUUUGCAAACAGCAAUGGAGGUUACACCCCAUGAGAUUGAUUGGGCAACAGUUCAAGAACAGAAAUGCGAACUUGAACCUUUCCCCUUGGGGGGUUUCGCAUUCCAGAAGCAUGAUUUAACUGAACAUUAAUUCCCUAGCAGCCAUGGAGAGAUCUGAACAGGAUUAAGUGGGAUUUAGUGUAGCCUUCUGGAUACUUAAUCAGCUUGGCCAAAUCCCAGAAGACAUGACUUUAUACUUCAAACUCCUGGUACAA